GCUCAAGCCAAAGAAGCUAUGCGUUCACAGCAAUACAUUUGAAAGAAUUUUAAUUAAAAUCUUGACUAAAUUAUAUAGUCAGCGAACAAGGAACGUGAUAUAAAUAUGACAUGAGGAAUUCCUAAAUGGAAUCCGAUUGCAGCCCUGCACCUGCGUACAAAAUCAGGACAUCGAGCUCUCAGGAACACCUCUGCUUCCAGAACCGACUUCUCAGAGCUCAAACGUGGAGACCAAACGCUGCUACAACUCCAACACUCCAGCUCUUCCUGGACACGGAUCUUCAUGUAACCCAAAACUUACAUCCCUGCAGCAUGAUUUCCUUCUCAGCGCUUUCUCACACACUAAAAAGGCCUUGAAUGACUAGCUAUGACAGCACCACCUCCUAAAACACGUCAUGUUACCGUCUUUCUUGACUCCACACUGUGCGUUCCCCACUUGUACAAGUGAGCAUUCGUACUGAUUUGCCAAAGCAGCAGCAGAAACCUCCAGUAUCAUACUUCUGACACUGGCCAAUGCUAGAUAUCCUCCAGAUGGUAAAAAAUAGUUUUCACAGGCCUUGGAGGCACUGAUGUGGUACCGUACCAGCUGACACCAGCUAUUGAUUACCUAAACCUUGUAAUUUUUGUUUUCGUUAAUGUACGCCAGCUGCAGAGCUUACUGUCACAUGACAUAUACAAUUGUCUAAUCUCUGCAUUUUCCUCCAAAUCAGGAAUUUUUCUCAAUACCAAUCUAUGAUACCAUAAAGUAUCAAAAUAAUUAUAUCGGGCAUUAGGAUAUUUGCUUUGUUCCUUUGAAAUGCAGGCACAGAAGCACUUGGAGGACUACAUGAGGUGCAGAUGAACAAUUUCUUUUAGAAGUAUCAUUCCAGUAUAUAUAUUUGUGAGA